UACGUAGGGUGCGAGCGUUAAUCGGAAUUACUGGGCGUAAAGCGUGCGCAGGCGGUUUGUUCUGUCCGAUGUGAAAGCCCCGAGCUCAACUUGGGAAUGGCAUUGGAAACUGGCGGGCUGGAGUGUGGCAGAGGGGGGUGGAAUUCCACGUGUAGCAGUGAAAUGCGUAGAGAUGUGGAGGAACACCGAUGGCGAAGGCAGCCCCCUGGGCUAACACUGACGCUCAGGCACGAAAGCGUGGGGAGCAAACAGG
rnacentral:rRNA from 1 species